CAGCAGGUCUACUAAUGUAGUUGGCCACAAU
rnacentral:piRNA from 1 species